AGACAUAUACCUUUGUGUGAUUGUAGUCUGUCACUGUCUCCGGGUUUCUUCUACUGGUCACUGCCGAUGGCAACAGUAGAAUGCAUGGAGCGUAGGAUGCAAAGACUUGUUUAUUUUACAUCUGUACACCGUGAGUGUUGCUUUGCCACAACUCCACUGGUAUGUUGUUCUGUGCAGAGGGGAGCAUCUCCCGCCUUUGUUUGUUCACUGUUCCAGUCAGGCUAGUCUUCUUUGCAAUCAACUUGUCUGCCAGGGGAAAUUGAUGUGAAGAAGUUGUCCAUGGGGUCACAAUUCUGCCUUUGCCCAAGUAAAGCCCCAUGAGUCUCAAAAUCACAGUCUCAGACAGUGAGUCGCUCAUCCACAGGCCUUGUUUCAUCUUUCCCCAGAUAUGGAAAGCCAUUGAGCAAGUACUUGGUUUCAACAUUGAACUGAAGUCACAUGCACCAUUAUAAGUUUCUAUCUGGUUUCUAUCGCCCAUUCAUCCAUUGACGACUGAAUAGCAUAUUUUCAUUUGUCACUAGUUUUUGCUAAGAGCAAUGCUUCCUGGCGUGAAUGGUCAUGUGCUGAAUGCAGGCACAGCAUGGAUAUUCUUGGAAAAAGUGACAUUUGGAAAUAGAGCUGCAGCUCAAAAUUUGUUUGAGUUAUUUGACGAUGGUAACUGCAGAAUAUGCUCUUUCUGAUUCUAUUUAGAAAUCAAAAUGUUUUACCUGCAUGUGAUUCUGAAGGAGAAUUUGAUAGUGAUGCGCCUUUCCCUGCUUGUCAAUUACAACAUGUACAAUAUGUACAAUAUGACAACUGAUAGGUCUAAUAUCGUCACUCAUCAGAUUAUUGUCAAUAUAAUCUUGUCUAUAGGCUAACUCUUAUGUGUGAAGUUAGUUUGGGUGUAGUUUAGGUGUAGUUUUGAUGGGCCAGCUGUGCAGGCUGACUGGGUUUAGGUGUAGUUUGGGUGUAGUUUAGGUGUAGUUUUGAUGGGCCGGCUGUGCAGGCUGACUGGAUUUAGGUGUAGUUUAGGUGUAGUUUAGGUGUAGUUUUGAUGGGCCGGCUGUGCAGGCUGACUGGCAUCGUUUGUUUCCCGCUCAUCAACUUGGAGUCAAGGAUAUCUUUUACAUUGUUCUGAAUGUCUACCGCAACAUGUAGCAUGUUUGGGUUUCCUUUACAAUACAUGUGAUUAGUAAUAGAGUUAUAGCAAAUAAAACCGUCCCAUAAACAGUUUAUUUUUACAAAGUAAAACGUAAAAAAUAAUGGUAUCAACCCGCAAGGCACACGGUUAAGUUGUUUGCAGUUGAAAAAUAGGAAUAACACAAACUGAUUAUUGCACUAUUGUUGCACAACCUCAUCACCCUCCUUAUUAUUCAGUUAGGCCUAAUUUAAAUUAGAUUUUGAAAUAAUCGACCAUUUGUCAUUCAUUCAGCAAAGAGAGAGAGACAAAGAGAGAGAGGUUACCAAUGUCCUACAGCACAUUGUCUUGGCAGAUGAAGUUGGGAAUAGGUGUGACAUUUUGUGUUCAUAUUUGAAAGAUCUUACUAUUCUGUUCUUCGUGUGUGCUGGAGCUGUAGCCUAGUUGUUAGAGCAUUUCGCCAGUAACCGAAAGGUUGCUAGAUUGAAUCCCCGUGCUGACAAUGUAAAAAUCUGUCCUUUUGCCCCUGAACAAGGCAGUUAACCCAC
ensembl:lncRNA